GUGAAACACACCGAUUGGAUCUUUCCGAGAGAAGGGGAGGUCCGAGCGAGGUGCCAAAUGGGCAGGACGGGCAGCUAACUGAGGGGGUGGGACUAGAUAUGAGAAAGAGAUCUGAUUGAACUGAAGAAAGGAGUGGGCGGAGCAGAGGGAGUGGACAAGUCCAAACUACUUAAAGACUUCUGACUAGCAUGGGGGAGACGGUCCUGAUUGGACAGAGAAAGGAUCUAAAGAGCCGGCAACCUGGAGCCUGUGGGGAGGGGCAGAUGGAGACAGCCGGGUUGGACCCCUAACUUUGCUUUGUCCGGGCAGGGCGGAUCUUAAGAAGAGGCAGGGCCUAGGAAAGUUAGAAACAGUCCUAAUUGGGCUGGGUAGUGAGGGGGCGAGACUGAACGAGGGGCGGGAACUGGAAAUGAAGAAUAGACCGUACUUUCGCGCGAAAUGGCACUAGGCUGGACCGAAAGGAGGAAUAGGGACUGAGACCCAGUGAGCAGGAGUGGAUAUAAGCGAGGCCUGGAAACCUGAGAGCGUCUGCCUAGGACUAAGAAAGGGAACGAAGCGAGGAAGGGGUCGGGCCGGGGUUGCAAGCUUGGCCUGGUCAGACAGGGCUGGGCCGGGAAAAGGAGUGUCAGGAUGGAUGGAUGAGACCGAGGAAGGUGGGUGGGAUCUACAAAUGGCAGAAACCGUCUUGAAUGGACUGUGGGAAGACGAGACUAGGGGAGUACUGGGGGCUCUAAGAGGCUUGAAAGCAACCAGCCUAGGCGGGGUUGGGGCAGGGCUAAGAGAGUACAGAACGGGUAUGGGGACGCUACGGGAAAGGUGAGACCUGCAGAGUACACAAUUACUGGGCUGGAUGGAAGAAUAGGACCUGGAACGGGGAGUCUGGGCUCAGAGAACCUGGGAGAGCGGCGUGAGGGUCAGCAGGGCUUUGGAGGGCGCUGCAAGAACUUCCAACUGGUGAUGUAAAAGGGACCAAGUCUAGAUAACAGCGGACUGCAGACUGCAGAACCAAGGGAUGGAUGAGGACAGGUGAAGAGAGAGCCUUAAGGGUGGCGGAGGGGAGAAACCUAAGCGCCGGGAAACUGGCUAGGCUGAGGAAAUAAGCGGGGCCAAUGAGAAAUAGAGCGGGGCUAGGUGUCCGAAAGUCCCGGCGGAAGCGGAGAGUUGGGGCGGGGCUAGUGGAGGGGCGUGUCCUGCCCCGCCCCCUUGGCUGGCCAGACACCGAGCAGCUGGGCGCAGGCGCUGGAGCGGGGGCCUCAGCUUCUGCCCCGGCUGCGGCGGGAGGAGGCGGUGCCUGCGGGAGCGAAGGGGGCGGGUCAGGGGCUGCGGGCUUUCUCCCGCUGCAUUAUCCCUGGCCCACCGCCUCCCUCUGCAGGUGCGGCGGCUGGUUCGUAUCGCCUACCCACCCGCCCCCGCUCCCGUUUUUGUGUCUCUCGAUGUCUUUCUAUCCCCUUUCUCUGAGUAUUUAUUUGUCCCCUCGUCUCUGCCCUCGCCCCGCUGAGACUCUGGACCCUCUUUUCUAAGUCUCUACCCUCCCUCCGGGUCUCUGUCUCAUUGUUCUCUGAAUCUGUUCCCCUCCUUCUGAGUCUUUACUUCCUUCUCCCUAAGGUUCAGUCUCCUCUCCCCCAACUGUGUCUCCGUCCCCCCACCCCAGUCUCUUUCUCCUGGUCUCUGUAGCUUAUUCUCAGGGAUUUGUCUCUCUCUCUCUCUGGGCCUCUGCCCCCUCCCGGUCUCUGUCUCUUCUCUUUGUGUCUCUGUCCUCCACUCCCUCUCUGGGGCGCUGUCCUCCUUGCCCUAGGCCCUUGUCUUCCUCUCCCUGGGUCUCUCUCCCUCUUCUUUGUGUCUCUGUCCUCCACUCCCCUCUCCCAGCCUGUACCCCCCACCCCCCGUCUCUAUCCAUUCAUCUGCAUCUCUGUCCCCCUUGCUCUUGUUCUCUGACGACCUCUCUGUCAGUAUCUUUUUCCUCUCCUCCGUCUCUCUCCCUCCUCUGUAAGUGCCUUUUCUCUUUCUCUCCUUUUUCUCUCUGUCACCCUAUGCGGGUCUCUAUCCCCACUCCCCGUGCCUCUUUCAUCCCCUUAUGAGGCUCUGUCUCCACUUCUUUGGGACUUUGUCCCGCUGUCCUUUGGUCUCUGUCCCUCCAUCACCCCCUCUACCCCCCAUCCUGGCCAGGACCCGAGGCUGCGUCACUGCGGAGAGUUGCAGAAGUGGAGCCUGUCCUGCAGACCAAGGAGGUAUUUCCUUCACCACCCCCCCGACCUUGGGCGGUACUCAAGCCCCUGAUGGGACCCAGGAAGGCAGAGAAAAGACAUCAAAACUUCCUACUCUUCUCUACCCUGAAUUCUGGUGUAUCCCCAGGCAGAAGCAGUGAAUCCUGAGCAGCCAGGCACGGGAUCCAGUUACCAAAUCAGCGUUUUUGCAGAGGCACAAAAUUCCUGAAAGCUCCAAACUCCCACCUCUGUCAUCCUUGGCGCCCCCCUCAUCCCCCCUCCCCCAUUCUCCAAGGCCCUGGAACUGGGAAAGGGUCUCCCGCUUCCCGACUUCUAGGAUCCCGGCCUCGUUCCUCCACCCCCAUUCCCAUCAGUUAUAAAUCCAGGAAAGAGGGUCUCCCGAACAGUAAAGCUGAAAAUAUGGAGACUCUCCGCCUACGAUCCUUGGUCCCCCCAGGCCUUCCAAGAACCUUGGCUCCCAAAGCUCGUUAUUAAGGAAGAAUUUCUCCGCUGUAAUCUUUGAGUCCCCAUCUCCCGGGUCUCUCGCCUCCAAAACUGGGAUUUGGGUCGUUUUACCGCCCCCGGACCCUGUGCCUUCUCCCCCUCCCCCCGUACUCACCCCAAGUCGAGGCGGGGCGGGGAUGGGGGAAUCCGGGGCUGGCGUUGGGGGAGGGGUGACCCAGCCCCGGCAGCUCAGGGCAGCAAGAAGCUGCGGAGGGGGGGAAUGACAUCAUCGCCGGAGGAGGGACAGCACAGCUCCCCCAACCCGGGGGCUUCAAGCCCCGCCUUUAUGGCGGACCCAGGGGUCUCGGAAUCCCAAGGGGAGAAAGGAAGGACAGAGGUUGAAGUCUGCGGGAAUCAUAUCCCCUCCCCUUAAAACAAAGGUUGGAAAGCCCUUUACGAUUCAGGCACCACCCCCCACUGCCACCUGUCGCUGCCGUCGCGACCUGUCGCCUCCCACGCAUGUUGUGGCUGCGCCCGCCCCCGGCAAGACGAGAACACGGCCUGGAAUACAAGGUCCAUGAGGCUUCGCGGUGCCGGACGCCUCUGUCUAUAGACAGCGUAGGCGAAGGGCCUCCUGGGAUUCGUAGUACAAGACCUCCGCACCGGCGGGAGCCCUGCCCUGGAGAAAAGGAGUGAUACCUUUCUCCUUCCUUUCUUCCUCAAGUCAGAGAGCUGGACACUAACUUUUCUCUCCAAAAAUCACGCGCUUAAAAAAAAGAAAAAAGUGACCCAGGUAGAGUCAAUGGUAAGAACGGAUUUUUACGGAGUACCUGGGCCUCGACUACCGCUCGGUGCGCAUGCGCCUAACCGAGGGGCCAACCGGAGAACUGCGCCUGCGCAGGCCCACCCCUUCGUGGUCGGGUUUCCCCAAAGCGAGAGCGCGCCAGCCCCACUCGGGCCUCGCUCGUCAGGUUCCCGCGGUCGAAGACGGCUACGUAGGUCCGCAAGAAGACAUCGCCGAGAAUCCAGAGGGGCCCUGCAGGCGAAGGCAUGUCGAGGGCCUGGAAGCCAGACAAGCAGAGGCGGAAACCACCCCGAACAAUCUGCAAGGCGACAAAACGGGCCACUGGGUGUCAGGCACACCGAACCCGCCUCUUCCCCGGGAGCCACAGCUCUGCCCCGCCCACUACCCCUGGCACCAGAAAUGUUUCUGUGGCCCCUACUCCGUCCCAGUGAUGUCUCGUUCCCAGCUCCAUCCUCUCAAAUCCCAUCUUAUUGCGUCACUGCCUCGUGACGGCCACCUACCUGGAUGACGUAGUCCUGAGCCGUGAGGUUAAACCAGACCCCACCAAGGAGGAAGGAGACGGGGGGCAGCGUGGGGAUUGUCUCGCACUGGAUGAGGUACUGAGGGAGAGGAGGAACAAGUGGGGCUGAGGGAUUCCCGCUCUGCUUAAGAUAGGUCUUCACGGUCUUGUGCGGUCAAGUUCUGCUGCCUUCUCUCACCUCACCCGCUCUUCCUUCGCCCCUAACAUAGUUGUUGUCACUUCCUUUAGGCUCCCAUUUGAUCAAACCCUCUUUUCCUUCAUCUACUUGUGGAUCAGAAACUACCGGCCCCGAGGCACAUGGAGCCCACAGGGUCUCAUGGGUCAGAGGUGGCAGACUUCCUGAUUUGGCUGAGAAGGGCGGGGAUUCCUGGAGGUGUGGAAGGAGAGGACCCCUCCAGAGAUUGGCAAAGACCUAAGAAUACUCACCGUUGACUAGGGGCUAUCGAUUGAUACCAACUUUCUGGAGGAUGAUUUGCCAGUAAUCUCCACGCCCAACGUGGGGCUCAAACUUACAACCCAGAGAUCAAGAGUCACGUGCUCUUCUGACUGAGCCAGCCAGGCGCCCCCAGGACAUGGGUAAUUCUCAGAGACCUAAUGAUAAGUGAAAGAACGAAGAGUGCCUAGUAUGGACUGAAUGUCUGUGUCCUCCUUCCAAUUCAGUGUUGAAAACGAACCCCCAGUGUAAAAGUAUUUAGAGGUGGGGGUUUGGGGAGGUGAUUGAAUCAGGAAGGUGGAGCCCUCCAGAAUGGGAUUCAUACCCUUUGAAAAUUGACCAUAGAGACCUCCUCCGCCCCUCCAACCCUUGUGUGGACACAGUGAAAAGGCUAUUAACCAGGAAGCAGACCCGAUCAGUCAGUGCCUUGAUCCGUGGGCUUCCCAGCCUCCAGAACCACGAGAAAUAAAUAUCUAUGAUUAUUAGCUA